UACGUAGGGUGCAAGCGUUAAUCGGAAUUACUGGGCGUAAAGCGUGCGCAGGCGGUUAUGCAAGACAGAUGUGAAAUCCCCGGGCUCAACCUGGGAACUGCAUUUGUGACUGCAUGGCUAGAGUGCGGCAGAGGGGGAUGGAAUUCCGCGUGUAGCAGUGAAAUGCGUAGAGAUGUGGAGGAACACCGAUGGCGAAGGCAGCCCCCUGGGCUAACACUGGACGCUA
rnacentral:rRNA from 1 species